AGAUGCGGCUUAAAUUACUAUCUUUUGGUUCCGUUACAUCGAAAGAGUAAAUAAUUUAAAAGUGAUUGAUUUGCUCUUAAGGAAUUCGUUGCUUUACAGUGGCACUAAUUAGUUUUGUUCUAGUUACAGCGGUACAGACGGACUUGCAUGUCAUUUUCAGUGUUUUUGUUUACUUUCAUCAAGCUAACCCGGACCGGAUCCGAGAUAGGUAGAUCAAGUAAUCUAGCUAUCCUGGACCGGAUCCAGCUGCAGGAACUGCUGCUCGCAUAGCGUCUCGAAGUGCCAAAAUAAAAUCGUGCUAGUAUGACCAGCUGCUGCAAACAAGCCUCCGAUGAACCAUGUAGAGGCGCAGCAGUAGUAGAUGGUAUCGACUUGCUUGCCGUUUGAUCGUCUCAAUUGAUUGUGCAGCCUGGGAAACAAAACCGCUGAAUGCGAUAAACAACGAAGGAUCCACACUGUAAAAUCGAUACCGUCCGUCACCUAGUUGAUGUUGUAAUAUAAUGCUGUCGGACAAAAAUAUGGUAAUGUCUUUCAUAAAUGAUUGUGCCAAGGUACCAGUCCCAAUUGAGUUGACGAAAAUUAGUAAAGAUGUCAUUUUUCCCAUUUCGAAACAUAAACACGCCGACGAUGGUAAGUGGACAGAUCCUCAAGGGGAUGUAAGACUCUUCCAUCACCACCAAAAGAUGAAGCCUCCUCCCACCAGAAGGAACGAUUUAUGUCCUUUAGAAGCUUGAAUCUGGCGCGAGCAACCAGCGAUUUUCAUGAUAGUUAAUGGCUCAGUCGUCCUUCUGGAGUAGCACCAACAACUGGAGCAGUAUUGCUUAGCCCAUCCUACGGAAAACCAGCAAUCAAUCCGAACAGGACUUUCAUAAAAGUACCAUUUUUUUACAACAACGUUCGUGAAGAGAGGAUCAGAAAUAAAUUGAAAAAAGAAAAAAAAAUCAAAUCAAGAAACGAAAAGCUCAAAACAUGCUGAAGUGAACUAAUUCAAAAUAGAAUUUGUUUUAUUUGAUAAUCAACGGAGAUAUUAUUGAGUCCUUAAUUACGAAUGUUCAGAAAGAAGUUAUGUGUUGCACAACAUUCGUGAUCAAUAGUCCUUGGUUCGUCGCAGUGCUAUCAAUGAUGGGCUGAGUGUGUAUAAUGAAGAUGAUGUUAACAACACUGCGCUUAGGGCCGCCCUGGCUAUUGGGAAUGGCCGAACAUUACUCGUUGCCGAAAGGACAGCCACGGAUAAAAUUAGUUAUGCCGCAGCUACCGAAAAAUCAACAAUGGAUGACCCCUGAUCAAUCCUUUUUUUGUUUUUGCAGCAUUGCAACGAACAAAGAAAACAUCUGAAUCGUGCUUCGCAAUCGAAGUGUCAAUAUAAUUUAAGAUGGAGGUGAGAGAUUCCAAUUUUAAUGAAUUAAAGUUGAAACAAUUGAUAAUAAUAAAUAUUG